GGAAGAUCAGCCUCACAGCAAACCCCUCCGGAGCCUCGAUGUCAGCGUGGCUCUCCUGGCCUUUGAGAUAUGGCUCUGGGUAUCCGGGGGAUGUCAGUUGCUGUGGUAACUGCUGGGCCAAAAGCUGAGAGGCCUGUGUGGGGCAAGUGUGGAGGAUUCCCCAAAGGAUCAUCCAGCACCUGCGAGUGAGCAGGGGCGACAAGGUGUGAAGGCCAAAGUUUGUAUUUGGGUAAAAGGGAGGAAGCCUCCAGGGACUCGGGACUGGAGAGGGAGCGUGACGUCUGUGCGCGGAGCUGGAUCUCACUGCUAGUUUCAAGCUCUCUUAGAACUCACUGUGUAGACCAGGUUGACCCUGAGCUCACAGAGAUCUACCUGCCACUGCUAGGAUUAAAGGUGUGUGUUGCCCACCUUGACUGUGGGCAGUACUGUGUCCCUGGGCGAGGGUUCUGGGCUGUACAGAAAGGAGACCAGCUUGUGACGAGCAUGGGCGCUUUGUCCUUCUGCUUCCUGAUUGCGGAUGUGAACAGCUGUUCCAGUCCCUGCUGCUCCGCCUCCCUGCUUGGAUG